rnacentral:rRNA from 1 species
UACAGAGGAUGCAAGCGUUAUCCGGAAUGAUUGGGCGUAAAGCGUCUGUAGGUGGCUUUUUAAGUCCGCCGUCAAAUCCCAGGGCUCAACUCUGGACAGGCGGUGGAAACUACCAAGCUGGAGUACGGUAGGGGCAGAGGGAAUUUCCGGUGGAGCGGUGAAAUGCGUAGAGAUCGGAAAGAACACCCAGGGGGAAACCAGCCGACUGGGCAUCUACUGACGCUGAGGUGCGAGAGCGUGGGGAGCGAACCGG